GAUGAACGCUGGCGGCGUGCCUAAUACAUGCAAGUCGAGCGAACAGACGAGGAUCUUGCUCCUCUGACGUUAGCGGCGGACGGGUGAGUAACACGUGGAUAACCUACCUAUAAGACUGGGAUAACUUCGGGAAACCGGAGCUAAUACCGGAUAAUAUAUUGAACCUCAUGGUUCAAUAGUGAAAAACGGGUUUGCUGUCACUUAUAGAUGGAUCCGCGCCGCAUUAGCUAGUUGGUAAGGUAACGGCCUACCAAGGCAACGAUGCGUAGCCGACCUGAGAGGGUGAUCGGCCACACUGGAACUGAGACACGGUCCAGACUCCUACGGGAGGCAGCAGUAGGGAAUCUUCCGCAAUGGGCGAAAGCCUGACGGAGCAACGCCGCGUGAGUGAUGAAGGUCUUCGGAUCGUAAAACUCUGUUAUUAGGGAAGAACAAAUGUGUAAGUAACUAUGCACGUCUUGACGGUACCUAAUCAGAAAGCCACGGCUAACUACGUG
rnacentral:rRNA from 1 species